CCCUUAGAUGUUCUGGGCCGCACGCGCGCUACACUGACUACUUCAACGAGUUGUUUCCUUGAUCGAAAGGUCUGGGUAAUCUUUGAAAGGUAGUCGUGAUGGGGAUAGAUCCUUGCAAUUUUUGAUCUUCAACGAGGAAUUCCUAGUAAACGCAAGUCAUCAGCUUGCAUUGAUUACGUCCCUGCCCUUUGUACACACCGCCCGUCGCUCCUACCGAUUGAGCAAUCCAGUGAAUACUUUGGACUGGUGACAAGUCUGGUCCUGCCAGCCUCGUCACUGGAAAAUUGAGUGAACCUUAUUGCUUAGAGGAAGGAGAAGUCGUANCA
rnacentral:rRNA from 1 species